CCCGUACACCCACCGAGAACACCACGGCAGGAGCGGGGGAACCAGGUAAGUCGCCGCACCGGUCAGCCGGGCCGUGCCUUUGGGCAUGCUCCGGACAGUCCGGUACGGCUUGGGGUGAAGUCGUGUCCGUGAGGGCACGGCCGGGCAGCUCCCGCCCGAACCCGACAGCUCACCUCGCAGGCGACGGAGAGGAACU
rnacentral:sRNA from 2 species